UGGGGAAUAUUGCACAAUGGGCGAAAGCCUGAUGCAGCAACGCCGCGUGAGUGAUGAAGGUCUUCGGAUUGUAAAGCUCUGUCUUUUGGGACGAUAAUGACGGUACCAAAGGAGGAAGCCACGGCUAACUACGUGCCAGCAGCCGCGGUAAUACGUAGGUGGCGAGCGUUGUCCGGAUUUACUGGGCGUAAAGGGUGCGUAGGCGGAUGUUUAAGUGAGAUGUGAAAUACCCGGGCUUAACUUGGGUGCUGCAUUUCAAACUGGAUAUCUAGAGUGCAGGAGAGGAGAAUGGAAUUCCUAGUGUAGCGGUGAAAUGCGUAGAGAUUAGGAAGAACACCAGUGGCGAAGGCGAUUCUCUGGACUGUAACUGACGCUGAGGCACGAAAGCGUGGGUAGCAAACAGGAUUAGAUACCCUGGUAGUCCACGCCGUAAACGAUGAGUACUAGGUGUAGGAGGUAUCGACCCCUUCUGUGCCGCA
rnacentral:rRNA from 1 species